rnacentral:rRNA from 1 species
GACGAACGCUGGCGGCGUGCUUAACACAUGCAAGUCGAACGGAAAGGCCUCUUUCUUGCGGUACUCGAGUUGCCAACGGGUGAGUAACACGUUAGUAACCUGCCCUUCACUUUGUGUUAACUUCAUUAAACUGGCGCUAAUACCUGAUAGGAGCUCCUUCUGCCUGGUGGGGUUUGGAAAGUUUCGGCGUUUGGGUAUGUAUUCGCGGGUUAUCUGCUUUUUUGUGGGGUAUUGGGUUACCAAGGCUUUUACGGGUAGCCGGACUGGGAGGGUGACAGGCGACAUUGGGACUGAGAGAAGGCACAGACACGGAAGGGAGGAAGAAGUGGGGAAGAUUGAAGAAUGGGUGGAAGGCUGAUGAAGCAAAGCCGUGUGCGGGAAGACGGGCUUAGGGUUGUAAACAGAAUUGGAAAAUAACGAAGCAUUGUGUGACGGUAGUGGGUAAAGAAGCACCGGCUAACUACGUG